rnacentral:rRNA from 1 species
GCAGUCGAACGAUGAUCCGGUGCUUGCACCGGGGAUUAGUGGCGAACGGGUGAGUAACACGUGAGUAACCUGCCCUUGACUCUGGGAUAAGCCUGGGAAACCGGGUCUAAUACCGGAUACGACCUUUCACCGCAUGGUGGUUGGUGGAAAGAUUUUUUGGUUUUGGAUGGACUCGCGGCCUAUCAGCUUGUUGGUGAGGUAAUGGCUCACCAAGGCGACGACGGGUAGCCGGCCUGAGAGGGUGACCGGCCACACUGGGACUGAGACACGGCCCAGACUCCUACGGGAGGCAGCAGUGGGGAAUAUUGCACAAUGGGCGAAAGCCUGAUGCAGCGACGCCGCGUGAGGGAUGACGGCCUUCGGGUUGUAAACCUCUUUCAGCAGGGAAGAAGCGAAAGUGACGGUACCUGCAGAAGAAGCGCCGGCUAACUACGUGCCAGCAGCCGCGGUAAUACGUAGGGCGCAAGCGUUGUCCGGAAUUAUUGGGCGUAAAGAGCUCGUAGGCGGUUUGUCGCGUCUGCUGUGAAAGCCCGGGGCUCAACCCCGGGUCUGCAGUGGGUACGGGCAGACUAGAGUGCAGUAGGGGAGACUGGAAUUCCUGGUGUAGCGGUGAAAUGCGCAGAUAUCAGGAGGAACACCGAUGGCGAAGGCAGGUCUCUGGGCUGUAACUGACGCUGA